ensembl:snRNA U6 U6 spliceosomal RNA
GUGCUCACUUUGGCAGCAUAUAUGCUAAAAUUGGAAUGAUAUGGAGAAGAUUAACAUGGCUCCUACACGAGGAUGACACGCAAAUUCAUGAAGCGUUCUAUAUUUGG